rnacentral:rRNA from 1 species
CAGUCGCCGCGGAACACAGAGGGUGCAAGCGUUAAUCGGAAUUACUGGGCGUAAAGCGCGCGUAGGUGGUUUGUUAAGUUGGAUGUGAAAUCCCCGGGCUCAACCUGGGAACUGCAUCCAAAACUGGCAAGCUAGAGUAUGGUAGAGGGUGGUGGAAUUUCCUGUGUAGCGGUGAAAUGCGUAGAUAUAGGAAGGAACACCAGUGGCGAAGGCGACCACCUGGACUGAUACUGACACUGAGGUGCGAAAGCGUGGGGAGCAAACAGGAUUAGAUACCCCGGUAGUCCCUGUCUCUUAUACC